rnacentral:lncRNA from 1 species
CUCAUGCUGUAACCUGGUUAAGUAGGUUGGUUUUGGCAGAAUGCACUUGGGAAGCCUCUUCGUGAUGUCUGUACUUAAUCAGUUCAAUAGAAGUAGAAUAUAAUGUCUAUUUCAAGAUGAGUUUUACUAAGACAGCAUUAUGGGAACCACAUGUUAUAAUUGAUUUUCUUUAUGACAAAAGCCACACGGACAAGGUAAUUUCUUGCAGGGGUGACUAUACUGGAGAAACCAAGCCAAGGUGACACCUGCUGCUUCCCUGAUUGAUCGCGGGGAUAGAUCCUUGUUGUAGCUGUGUGCGUUCUGGAUAGGCACUGUGAUUGCUUAACAUAAACACGUAUCGUGAACCUCACAUUUCUGUCAGAGUUAUCGCGAUAAACUUUUGACCGACUCAAGACGUCAGACCUCGAUGGACAGAAACACCGCUGGAGGCAGUGGUGCCGCAGAUUUAAGGCUUGUUUGUUAAAACUCUGGUUGAUAACGCGAAGGACGGAGGUGGGUGGGCUGGGCAUGCCAUGUGAGACAGUCUGCACAGAGACUGUAUGCAGAACACAAGAGACACACGCUCGGGGAUUUGAUACAGGAUUCGACUAAACAGAGACGAGCGGAAAAACGUGACGACUUUUCUAAGUGAGCCUACAGACUGAGACCCACAGCGGAACCACUAUGUCCAAGGAGACAAGAGGCAAAGGCAUGCGGAAGCACAGCGGCACGCGUUGGUGUCUGCAGAAUAUUGCACAAGAAUCUGUGGACAGCUCUGAUGAGGAAUUUUCGACGCAAGAGGUGAGUCUAUGCAUGCCCAGAUAAAUGGAGAGGAUUGUGAG